AUAAAUUCAGUGAAGAAGAGAGUAAGAUAAAUUAAAUUUAUAGAGAACUGGGGAUGGUGGAAGCCUGGUAAGGAGAUUUAUUCUGAAAAGAGCUUUUGAGAAGGUUAUCAGAACUUAAGUAUGAUAAUCGGUUGUCCGCCUUAAGGAUUUGAGUGGUUAAGAUAUUCUUAACAAUUAGAGUGGUAACACGGUAAAUAUCGUCUCUUGG
rnacentral:ncRNA from 1 species